UACGUAGGCAGCAAGCGUUGUUCGGAAUUAUUGGGCGUAAAGAGUAUGUAGGUGGUGUCGUAAGUUUGGUGUGAAAUCUCCUGGCUUAACUGGGAGGGUGCGCCGAAGACUGCGAUGCUUGAGUAUGGGAGAGGGAAUCGGAAUUCCUGGUGUAGCGGUGAAAUGCGUAGAUAUCAGGAGGAACACCUGUGGUGUAGACGGGUUCCUGGACCAUUACUGACACUGAGAUACGAAAGCGUGGGUAGCAAACAGG
rnacentral:rRNA from 1 species